rnacentral:rRNA from 1 species
AGCGUACACGGUGGAUGCCCUGGCAGUCAGAGGCGAUGAAGGACGUGCUAAUCUGCGAUAAGCGUCGGUAAGGUGAUAUGAACCGUUAUAACCGGCGAUUUCCGAAUGGGGAAACCCAGUGUGAUUCGUCACACUAUCAUUAACUGAAUCCAUAGGUUAAUGAGGCGAACCGGGGGAACUGAAACAUCUAAGUACCCCGAGGAAAAGAAAUCAACCGAGAUUCCCCCAGUAGCGGCGAGCGAACGGGGAGCAGCCCAGAGCCUGAAUCAGUGUGUGUGUUAGUGGAAGCGUCUGGAAAGGCGUGCGAUACAGGGUGACAGCCCCGUACACAAAAAUGCACAUAUUGUGAGCUCGAUGAGUAGGGCGGGACACGUGGUAUCCUGUCUGAAUAUGGGGGGACCAUCCUCCAAGGCUAAAUACUCCUGACUGACCGAUAGUGAACCAGUACCGUGAGGGAAAGGCGAAAAGAACCCCGGCGAGGGGAGUGAAAAAGAACCUGAAACCGUGUACGUACAAGCAGUGGGAGCACGCUUAGGCGUGUGACUGCGUACCUUUUGUAUAAUGGGUCAGCGACUUAUAUUCUGUAGCAAGGUUAACCGAAUAGGGGAGCCGAAGGGAAACCGAGUCUUAACUGGGCGUUAAGUUGCAGGGUAUAGACCCGAAACCCGGUGAUCUAGCCAUGGGCAGGUUGAAGGUUGGGUAACACUAACUGGAGGACCGAACCGACUAAUGUUGAAAAAUUAGCGGAUGACUUGUGGCUGGGGGUGAAAGGCCAAUCAAACCGGGAGAUAGCUGGUUCUCCCCGAAAGCUAUUUAGGUAGCGCCUCGUGAAUUCAUCUCCGGGGGUAGAGCACUGUUUCGGCAAGGGGGUCAUCCCGACUUACCAACCCGAUGCAAACUGCGAAUACCGGAGAAUGUUAUCACGGGAGACACACGGCGGGUGCUAACGUCCGUCGUGAAGAGGGAAACAACCCAGACCGCCAGCUAAGGUCCCAAAGUCAUGGUUAAGUGGGAAACGAUGUGGGAAGGCCCAGACAGCCAGGAUGUUGGCUUAGAAGCAGCCAUCAUUUAAAGAAAGCGUAAUAGCUCACUGGUCGAGUCGGCCUGCGCGGAAGAUGUAACGGGGCUAAACCAUGCACCGAAGCUGCGGCAGCGACACUAUGUGUUGUUGGGUAGGGGAGCGUUCUGUAAGCCUGUGAAGGUGUACUGUGAGGUAUGCUGGAGGUAUCAGAAGUGCGAAUGCUGACAUAAGUAACGAUAAAGCGGGUGAAAAGCCCGCUCGCCGGAAGACCAAGGGUUCCUGUCCAACGUUAAUCGGGGCAGGGUGAGUCGACCCCUAAGGCGAGGCCGAAAGGCGUAGUCGAUGGGAAACAGGUUAAUAUUCCUGUACUUGGUGUUACUGCGAAGGGGGGACGGAGAAGGCUAUGUUGGCCGGGCGACGGUUGUCCCGGUUUAAGCGUGUAGGCUGGUUUUCCAGGCAAAUCCGGAAAACUAAGGCUGAGGCGUGAUGACGAGGCACUACGGUGCUGAAGCAACAAAUGCCCUGCUUCCAGGAAAAGCCUCUAAGCAUCAGGUAACAUCAAAUCGUACCCCAAACCGACACAGGUGGUCAGGUAGAGAAUACCAAGGCGCUUGAGAGAACUCGGGUGAAGGAACUAGGCAAAAUGGUGCCGUAACUUCGGGAGAAGGCACGCUGAUAUGUAGGUGAAGUCCCUCGCGGAUGGAGCUGAAAUCAGUCGAAGAUACCAGCUGGCUGCAACUGUUUAUUAAAAACACAGCACUGUGCAAACACGAAAGUGGACGUAUACGGUGUGACGCCUGCCCGGUGCCGGAAGGUUAAUUGAUGGGGUCAGCGCAAGCGAAGCUCUUGAUCGAAGCCCCGGUAAACGGCGGCCGUAACUAUAACGGUCCUAAGGUAGCGAAAUUCCUUGUCGGGUAAGUUCCGACCUGCACGAAUGGCGUAAUGAUGGCCAGGCUGUCUCCACCCGAGACUCAGUGAAAUUGAACUCGCUGUGAAGAUGCAGUGUACCCGCGGCAAGACGGAAAGACCCCGUGAACCUUUACUAUAGCUUGACACUGAACAUUGAGCCUUGAUGUGUAGGAUAGGUGGGAGGCUUUGAAGUGUGGACGCCAGUCUGCAUGGAGCCGACCUUGAAAUACCACCCUUUAAUGUUUGAUGUUCUAACGUUGACCCGUAAUCCGGGUUGCGGACAGUGUCUGGUGGGUAGUUUGACUGGGGCGGUCUCCUCCUAAAGAGUAACGGAGGAGCACGAAGGUUGGCUAAUCCUGGUCGGACAUCAGGAGGUUAGUGCAAUGGCAUAAGCCAGCUUGACUGCGAGCGUGACGGCGCGAGCAGGUGCGAAAGCAGGUCAUAGUGAUCCGGUGGUUCUGAAUGGAAGGGCCAUCGCUCAACGGAUAAAAGGUACUCCGGGGAUAACAGGCUGAUACCGCCCAAGAGUUCAUAUCGACGGCGGUGUUUGGCACCUCGAUGUCGGCUCAUCACAUCCUGGGGCUGAAGUAGGUCCCAAGGGUAUGGCUGUUCGCCAUUUAAAGUGGUACGCGAGCUGGGUUUAGAACGUCGUGAGACAGUUCGGUCCCUAUCUGCCGUGGGCGCUGGAGAACUGAGGGGGGCUGCUCCUAGUACGAGAGGACCGGAGUGGACGCAUCACUGGUGUUCGGGUUGUCAUGCCAAUGGCACUGCCCGGUAGCUAAAUGCGGAAGAGAUAAGUGCUGAAAGCAUCUAAGCACGAAACUUGCCCCGAGAUGAGUUCUCCCUGACUCCUUGA